rnacentral:tRNA from 1 species
GAGGUUUUAGCUUAGUUAAAGUGUCUAGUUUGCAGCUAGUUGAUGUAGAUUAAAAUUUUACAAGCCUUC